ACCCCUACCAAAGACCACCACCUCCACCCAACCAGCCUUGGUCCUCCUCUGCCUCUCAAUUCCAUUACCAUCCCCAACUCCACCACUCGCCCUCUCCUCCACCACAGUGGCCUCCGCCCCCGCCGCCGCCGCCUCCGGCUCACUCCUCCGACCAUAGUUAUUACCCUCCAUAUCCUGCGCACCAACUUCCGCCUUAUCCUGCGUAUCCUCACUACCCUCCUGCGCAUCCUCUCCCGCUUAGGCCUCCUCAUGUUCCGCAUUCCUACUCUCAGGUAUUUGUUAAUUCUCUGUUUCGAGUAAAAACUUUCUGUUUUGAAAGAUAUUUUGGUUUAUUUGCAAGUAUUUUAGUUUCAGACUUGUUGAAAUCUGUGAUAUGUUAAACCUUUGUGGAAUUAUGAUUCCAAGGAAUUCAAUUCUUCAGAGAGAUAAAGAACAAUCAGUCUUUGGUUAAUUAUACACAUUGGUCUUCAAGGCUUUAGUUUGUUUCUUUUCUUUUGGGUGCUGGUCCUAUACCACCAGCAAUUAAAAAUACGUAAAUUUGCUUAAGCUUUAUAGUUAGGAACAAGAAAAGUUUUCAUUAUUGGUUAUCUGACUGGGAGGCAGGGAUGAGGACAAAAAUAUUUAUUUUGCUUGUUUAUGCAACAGUGUUUCACCAUUUAUUCAGUAUAGAGACACCGAAAGUGGACUGAUUUUUAUACGUGUGCCUUUCUUUUGCCUAUUUUUCUCUUGUUCUUCCUAUCGCCAAAUUACUUUAUUAAUAUUUUUAACAUAGGAUAUAUUGUGGUUGAGAUUUUUUGUUUGUUUACUAAUGUGUGUUUAAUGUAGAAUUGGGAGAAUGCAAGCUGGGGUCAUCACCAGAAUUGGGAUUACCAAGGUCAGAAGAUAGUUCACCAAUUUACUUAAUCAUUGGCUUUUCCUCUCUAUUAGACUCACAACACUGCUUUUUGUUUGUGGAUUUUUAUUUACUCAUUUCAUGUAAAAUUAUAGUUGGCAAUUUAAAACUCAGAUUAUAUGACUAUGAAAACUGGACAGAACUGGGUGGGCAAAAUCCCCGGUAUUGGUUGACCUGUACAGGAACCAGCUGGUUCGUUCAAGAGAAAAUUCAAUCUAUGCAUUGUUACUAAGAUCUGGACGGUUUGUUUCCGAUACUUGGUUUUACUUUAGAGCCGAUACACGAACUGGAUUCACCAAACUUCAUUAAAGCAAUAAAUAAUGAGGAUCCUACUGAAAUUUUCGUCAACACUUCCUGCAUGUAGUCACUCAUCCUCACUGUUCAACUCUUAAUUCUCAGACAGCAGCCACCACCAUCUAUUGUUAUCCUUGAAUAGCCGCCAAUUUAGUGGGUCAACCCUGAUUCUUUCCCAAAAUUGGGAGGUGAGAGAGGCAACUGCAGUAAUUGCAAUUAGAGAAAUCUGAGAUCCAACCCUAGUAAUUGAAGUUCCAAUUUUUUGCCUUCCACAUUUUUUAUUCUCCUCAGUUUCCAAAAUCGCAUAUAUAAUUUAUUUUAUUGCCUGAGAAAUGUCUGGUGAUUUCAUUUGCAAUUGAAGAUGAGUAUAUUACCCUUGUCUAGGUAAUUCACAUCAAGGUUCCAAAAAUAAUCAUAAUUUCCUGUUUUGUUUCUUUUUUGAAAUAUUUGGUACAUGGAUUUUUUAUGUAGGUUCUCGCAGAAAUUAAUUAAGACAAAGACAGGGUGUUCUUUUUUCUUAAUUUGAUAUUUAUUUUAUUACAAGGUGUUUUCAUUAGUUUAAUU
rnacentral:lncRNA from 1 species